rnacentral:rRNA from 1 species
AUUCGACCUGAGCUCAGGCAAGAGCACCCGCUGA